GUAGAGGCCAUAUAGACGCUGGAAUCUGGGAUUCCUAAACCGUGUGUCGCAGGUUCGAUUCCUGCCGGGG
rnacentral:tRNA from 1 species